rnacentral:rRNA from 1 species
UACGGAGGAUGCAAGCGUUAUCCGGAAUGAUUGGGCGGAAAGCGUCCGCAGGUGGCUGUGUAAGUCUGCUGUCAAAGAGCGAAGCUCAACUUCGUAAAGGCAGUGGAAACUACACGGCUAGAGUGCGUUCGGGGCAGAGGGAAUUCCUGGUGUAGCGGUGAAAUGCGUAGAGAUCAGGAAGAACACCGGUGGCGAAGGCGCUCUGCUAGGCCGCAACUGACACUGAGGGACGAAAGCUAGGGGAGCGAAUGGG